rnacentral:lncRNA from 1 species
UUUAUUUUUCCUUUUUUUUUUAAUAAAAUAUAUUCUUUGUGUCAGUGUAACAGCACGAUGUCUUGAGGGAAAGAAUUGUGAUACAAUGAAUCAAUUGUUGACCCCUAGUUGCUUCGACACAUAAAAAGAGUACUGACAGCCCUCACGGAGCUGAUGAUGAAGAGGAAGAGCCAGUUUAAUUCGGAGAGCGACAAAGGCCCUUCCCGAAAACACUCAAAAAAACGAAAACGGGCCACUGCCAAGAGUAUUUCCCCGGUGCCCCCUGGAGUGUGUAGUCCCCGUUCAAGGGACUUCCCCUUCGUGUAGGAGACGGGUGAUUAAAACCAGGGCUUCAGCCACAAGGAAACAGCCACAGGCAUGCCGGUCAGUCCAGAGUUCCAAGAGAAAGAGGGACACCUCUUCCCUGGACUCGGACACAGAGGAGUAAGUCACAGUCAAUGCUGGUCAGUCUAUUGUCGGAUAGAUUGGACUCAGUCUGUGAGUGUUGGUCUACCUAGCAACAGCAAGCACAUUCAGACCAAUGCAGUGUGCUUAUCAACUUCUCUUUAGCCUAGAACAUUUUGCAUGUGUGUUGACCAACUUGGCUUAGCCUGGAACACCAUGACUCUGUGUUAACCGACCUCCCCACUUUAGCCCGAAACGUCACACAGACUGCCCCUGGAGGUGGCCCUGCAUUUGCUCAUGUCCCAGCCCCCGGCGUGUGACCCCAUCGCGGGGCUUCUGGAUUGGUUCAACCAGCCCGACCAGAUCGUCCUGGUCAUGGAGCAUCCCGCGCCGUGAGCAGACGUGUACGACUACUUGUGCACCGUGGCGGGCGGGCCUCUGUCUCAGGCACCGUUGAGUACUGCCAGCCGGAGUGUUUCACCAAAGGCAUGUACAACGGGCACAAGGCCACCGUCUGGUCUCUCGGCGUGAUGCUGUUUACCCUGGUCAACGGGAAGCUGCCCUACAAAGACGAGUACAGCAUCCGCAGAGGACACAGGCUGUGCUUUAAAGCAGGCGUUUCUAAAGAAUGCAGGGAUGUGAUUCACUGGUGCCUAAGACGAAAUGCUAAAGCUAGGCCAAUGCUUGAGGAAAUCCUGCUAAAUGAUUGGCUGUUGAACUAAGGUCAGUGUCUUUUGCAGGUGUCACAA